AUACUUACCUUGAAGGACUUUCCAAUGAUCAAGAAGGUUGGAAAGUUAUGCAGUCGACGCUUUUCCUUGCACUCUGAAAAGCUGUCCUGUAUAUGGUCAAUUGCCAUUGGCUAUUGCCCUCCUUCAAAAUUUUUGAUACGUGAGGAAGUACCUAGUGUGUUUCCUCGC
rfam:Naegleria gruberi genomic scaffold NAEGRscaffold_27, whole genome shotgun sequence.